AGCGUGUCGCGAUGGAUGACUUGGCUUCCUAUUUCGUUGAAGAACGCAGUAAAGUGCGAUAAGUGGUAUCAAUUGCAGAAUCAUUCAAUUACCGAAUCUUUGAGCGCGCAUGGGGCACGGGAGAAGCUCUAAAGUGUCAUCCCCGUGCAUGCCAUAUUCUCAGUGUGGA
rnacentral:rRNA from 1 species